rnacentral:lncRNA from 1 species
AAGGAAGGAAGGAAGGAAGAGAGAGAGAGAGAGAAAGAAAGAAAGAAAGAAUGAAUGAAAGAAAGAAAGAAAGGAAAAGAAGGAAAGGAAAGAAAAAGAAAGAAAAAGGAGGAAAAAGAAAACGGAAAACUGUUGGGCAGAGCAACAGGCAAAACCGAGCUGCACUGACAGAAUUUAGAGAAGUGGUUACAUUUGGAGGAGCCAGUGACUGAGAAAGGACAUGGCAGGGACUUCUGCUCUACUGGGGACACUCCCUUUCUU